rnacentral:rRNA from 1 species
UACGUAGGGUGCAAGCGUUGUCCGGAAUUAUUGGGCGUAAAGAGCUCGUAGGCGGUCUGUCGCGUCGGAUGUGAAAAUCCAGGGCUCAACCCUGGACCUGCAUUCGAUACGGGCAGACUAGAGUUCGGCAGGGGAGACUGGAAUUCCUGGUGUAGCGGUGAAAUGCGCAGAUAUCAGGAGGAACACCGGUGGCGAAGGCGGGUCUCUGGGCCGUAACUGACGCUGAGGAGCGAAAGCGUGGGGAGCGAACAGG